rnacentral:piRNA from 1 species
UAAGGGCACAGAGAAUGCGGUAC